rnacentral:lncRNA from 1 species
UGAUGUUUUUUAUUCUUAGCAGUGGGUGCAGGCCAAGGCCGGACUGUCUCCUGAACUCGCCGUUUAAUAGAUCCGGAGAUUGUAGGGAUGAGAGAGUGGGCAGAAACGGUUAAGGUAGGGGUGGUUGGGGCAGGGCUGGUUAAGGUAGGGGAGGUUGGGGCAGGGCUGGUUAAGGUAGGGAUGGUUGGGGCAGGGCUGGUUAAGGUAGGGGAGGUUGGGGCAGGGCUGGUUAAGGUAGGGGAGGUUGGGGCAGUUUGUGAAGGCUGGGUGGAAUGGGUUGUGAUUACCGGUAAUGGGAAUGGGGAAAAUAAGAAAUCAAAGUGUGGUGCAGUAGGUGAUAUUAAUGUGAGGGGACUGGACAUGGAGGCUGAUGGUGUUCCCAGAGGAAGGGUGGGGGAGGCACUGGCAGUUCUUGAACUCACAGGCGUCUGGUGUUCUAGGGCGACUGACCCGGAGACAGAGAGCUGCCGAAGCACCUCCCGGGCCUCCCCUUCCCCCAGGCGAUCCUUCUCCAGCUGAAGGCGCUCCCUCUCCACCUGCAGGCGCUCUGUCUCCACCUUCAAGCGCUCUCUAUCCAGCUGGAGCCGGUUCUUCUCCACAUCCAGGUGUGCCUUCUGUGUUUCAUGUGCUUUUUGUAAUAAAUCAUAAAGAGCUUGGUGGAUGUGUUGGGCGGUCUGUGUAACAUGGAUUUGUUGUGUUUGUGUGUCCAGGAUUUGUUGGAACAGAGUGGCUUGGGGGCCCUGUGGUAUCCAGCCAGACGUGAUGGGUUGGGGUGUAGAGCCAGAGUGGAUGGAGUGAGCUGGUGCAGGACAGUAGGUGAUGUGUUGGGGUGUAGAGCCAGAGUGAGAUGGUGCAGGACAGGAGGUGAUGGGUUGGGGUGUAGAGCCAGAGUGGAUGGAGUGAGAUGGUACAGGACAGGCGGUGAUGGGUUGGGGUGUAGAGCCAGAGUGAGCUGGUGCAGGACAGGAGGUGAUGGGUUGGGGUGUAGAGCCAGAGUGAGCUGGUGCAGGACAGGAGGUGAUGGUUUGGGGUGUAGAGCCAGAGUGGAUGGAUUGAGAUGGUGCAGGACGGGAGGUGAUGGGUUGGGGUGUAAAGCCAGAGUGAGAUGGUGCAGGACGGGAGGUGAUGGGUUGGGGUGGCACUGUUGGUGCUGGCCAAGGUGUAGAUGGCGAG